rnacentral:rRNA from 1 species
UACAGAGGUCUCAAGCGUUGUUCGGAAUUAUUGGGCGUAAAGGGCGCGUAGGCGGCUUUCUAAGUCAAAGGUGAAAUCCCUCGGCUCAACUGAGGAACUGCCUUUGAAACUGGAAAGCUUGAGGCCGGGAGGGGGUAGCGGAAUUCCCAGUGUAGCGGUGAAAUGCGUAGAUAUUGGGAGGAACACCAGUGGCGAAGGCGACUACCUGGCCUGUUCUUGACGCUGAGGCGCGAAAGCUAGGGGAGCAAACGGG